rnacentral:sRNA from 1 species
GAGUGCUGAAUAAGUUUCUGUCAUAGAUGAGAGAAUUCUGUAUACGACUGCGGAACCUGGUACACAGUGGAGCAACCAAAGGAGAAAUCUCGGCCACGCAGGACGUCAUGAUGGAGGAGAUAUUCCGAGUGGUGUGCAUCUGUUUGGGUAAUCCACCAGAGACAUUCACCUGGGAGUAUCGAGACAAAGAUAAAAAUUAUCAGAAGAUUGGCCCCAUAACACCCUUGGAGUUUUACAGGGAACAUGUCAAGCCACUCUUCAAUAUGGAAGAUAAGAGUGAGUUUUGAGGGCUGGGUGCGGUGGCUCAUGCCUGUAAUCCCAGCACACUGGGAGGCUGUGGUGAGUGGAUCACCUGAGUUCGGGAGUUCGAGACCAGCCUGGCCAACAUGGUGAAACUCUGUCUCUACUAAAAAUACAAAAAUUAGCUAGGCAUGGUGGCGCACAUCUGUAAUCCCAGCUACUUGGGAGGCUGAAGCA